GAUGAACGCUGGCGGCGUGCCUAAUACAUGCAAGUCGAGCGAACGGACGAGAAGCUUGCUUUUCUGAUGUUAGCGGCGGACGGGUGAGUAACACGUGGAUAACCUACCUAUAAGACUGGGAUAACUUCGGGAAACCGGAGCUAAUACCGGAUAAUAUUUUGAACCGCAUGGUUCAAAAGUGAAAGACGGUCCUGCUGUCACUUAUAGAUGGAUCCGCGCUGCAUUAGCUAGUUGGUAAGGUAACGGCUUACCAGGGCAACGAUGCAUAGCCGACCUGAGAGGGUGAUCGGCCACACUGGAACUGAGACACGGUCCAGACUCCUACGGAGGCAGCAGUAGGGAAUCUUCCGCAAUGGGCGAAAGCCUGACGGAGCAACGCCGCGUGAGUGAUGAAGGUCUUCGGAUCGUAAAACUCUGUUAUUAGGGAAGAACAUAUGUGUAAGUAACUGUGCACAUCUUGACGGUACCUAAUCAGAAAGCCACGGCUAACUACGUG
rnacentral:rRNA from 1 species